UCCCCCACAUUGGAACUGAGACACGGUCCAAACUCCUACGGGAGGCAGCAGUGAGGAAUAUUGGUCAAUGGACGAGAGUCUGAACCAGCCAAGUAGCGUGCAGGAUGACGGCCCUAUGGGUUGUAAACUGCUUUUAUAAGGGAAUAAAGUGAGUCUCGUGAGACUUUUUGCAUGUACCUUAUGAAUAAGGACCGGCUAAUUCCGUGCCUGCAGCCGCGGUAAUACGGAAGGUCCGGGCGUUAUCCGGAUUUAUUGGGUUUAGAGGGAGCGUAGGCCGGAGAUUAAGCGUGUUGUGAAAUGUAGAUGCUCAACAUCUGAACUGCAGCGCGAACUGGUUUCCUUGAGUACGCACAAAGUGGGCGGAAUUCGUGGUGUAGCGGUGAAAUGCUUAGAUAUCACGAAGAACUCCGAUUGCGAAGGCAGCUCACUGGAGCGCAACUGACGCUGAAGCUCGAAAGUGCGGGUAUCGAACAGGAUUAGAUACCCUGGUAGUCCGCACGGUAAACGAUGGAUGCCCGCUGUUGGUCUGAAUAGGUCAGCGGCCAAGCGAAAGCAUUAAGCAUCCCACCUGGGGAGUACGCCGGCAACGGUGCAACU
rnacentral:rRNA from 2 species